GUGGGGAAUAUUGCACAAUGGGCGCAAGCCUGAUGCAGCCAUGCCGCGUGUGUGAAGAAGGCCUUCGGGUUGUAAAGCUCUUUCGGCGGGGACGAUAAUGACGGUACCCGCAGAAGAAGCCCCGGCUAACUCCGUGCCAGCAGCCGCGGUAAUACGGAGGGGGCUAGCGUUGUUCGGAAUCACUGGGCGUAAAGCGCACGUAGGCGGCUACUCCAGUCAGAGGUGAAAGCCCGGGGCUCAACUCCGGAAUUGCCUUUGAAACUAGGUAGCUUGAACGUCGGAGAGGUAAGUGGAAUUCCGAGUGUAGAGGUGAAAUUCGUAGAUAUUCGGAAGAACACCAGUGGCGAAGGCGACUUACUGGACGACUGUUGACGCUGAGGUGCGAAAGCGUGGGGAGCAAACAGGAUUAGAAACCCUGGUAGUCC
rnacentral:rRNA from 1 species